CACGUAGGGUGCGAGCGUUGUCCGGAAUUACUGGGCGUAAAGCGCGCGUAGGUGGUUCGUUAAGUUGGAUGUGAAAUCCCCGGGCUCAACCUGGGAACUGCAUUCAAAACUGUCGAGCUAGAGUAUGGUAGAGGGUGGUGGAAUUUCCUGUGUAGCGGUGAAAUGCGUAGAUAUAGGAAGGAACACCAGUGGCGAAGGCGACCACCUGGACUGAUACUGACACUGAGGUGCGAAAGCGUGGGGAGCAAACAGG
rnacentral:rRNA from 1 species